UCAUAGGUCAAUAAUGGAAUUUCUACAUCGUAGGAUUUGGAAACAUUGUGAUGUUUUUCUCAUGAAUAUACGUUUAAAAUAAAUAAACACUAAAAGUACACGCUGACAGUUGAUUACGAUACAUCCAACAAUUUGAGUCAUUACAGUUAAACAUGGAUUAUAAGUGAAAUAUACGCGUAAGAGAAGAUUUUCUCUCGAAAAAACGAACUGUCAACAAUCGGCAUGGAACUUGGAUAUUCGUAUCAAAGGGCUCUGAAUGCAGGAAAAUGACUGAAUAUUACUUAGUCUACAACACUGGGUUAUGAAGAAUUCCAGCCUGCAUUAAAUACUAUGUUGGAUCCUUGAGAGCGGAUUUAACAGCCAUGUCCAUCCACAAGGCAGUCGCAUCUGAUCGAGAUGAUGGGAGUAUUUCAUAUAAAACAUAUUUGACUUGGUUUUUGUUUUUAUAAACCUACUGUAUUCAAUAAUCAAGUGGUGGUGGUGGUGGUGAUGGUGGUGGUGGUGGUGGUGGUGGUGAUGAUGAUGAUGAUGAUGAUGAUGAUGAUGAAUUUUAUUGAUAAAUUUAUUAAUUUUCUUUAUAUAUAUACAUGUAUGUAUCAGCUUGUUGUUGUUUUUUCAAAAUAAUGUCGAGAAAUAUUAAACUGUUUAUAUUUUAUUUUGUAUAUGUAUGGCAGUAUAAUUAUCUAUACUAAUUUGUUAGAAAGGCUUUAAAGUACAACUUUUUUCCUUUACAGCACUAAACAUUCUUGAUGGGUAAAGUACCUGAAGGUGCAUGAAAACCAAAUCAGCAUUGACUCAGCAUUGAGUAGUUAUCAUCUGUGCACACACUACAAGUACAAAGCAUGGGAACAGACCAACCUUCAAAUGGUGAAGAGUGAAGAAUUAUUGUGAAAAAAACUAAUUGUUAGAAUACCAAUGACAAAAUACAACAGAUAUACAUCAAAUUACCCACAGAGAUUGUUUACAUGUUAUAAUAUUUAAAAAAAAACAUUAGUUGAGAACUUUCACUCUGAUAUUUUUGGUGUUCUUGUUUCUUCACAUAUUUUAGUUUAAAAGUACACUCAUUUGUUUUAAACUCUGUAUUCUGAGUUAGUAUCAGCAGUGCUCCAGCUAGCCAGUUUUUCAAUGGCGCAGCGCCCGUGCCCCUUUUCUUACCGCCCUGCCCCCUUUUUGAGUAGUGCCCUUUUCACAAAUGCUCUAUUAACCCCAAAUAUCCCGUUAGUGCCCUUUUUACUAUUGAAAUCAUUUUAAAAGAUUGACAGCCCUUAAUCCGCUGUCAUAAUUGAGACAAAUUACGUAAUACUUAUGAUAAUAGUGUUCCCGCUAGGUGUCACCAUGCUCUCAUUGAUUGCUUAAAAUAUGCCGUACUGCCCUUUCAUCUUUCCAUGUGCCUUGACCAAGUCAUAUGACAGCUAAUUGUGUAUUUGUGUAGUGAGCAGACGACCUGUGUAUUCAUAAUCGGUCAUCUACUAAUCCGAUAAUUAGGAAGAGCCAAAUAGGGAAACAUCGGCAGGAGGCGUGCCUAUCGAAUGUCAGCCAAUCAGAAUAUACAUUGAGAACUCGUUCAACCAAUGAUGAAAGUUCGUAAAAUGCGAUAGAAAAUGCGAAGGGAUGGUGAAAAAUGUUGUGAAGCACAAUUAAAUCUUUUAAAAUAAUUGUUUAUUGUAUUGUACAGACGAGACUUGCCAUUUUCAACAUUGUUGAUUUGAAGCAGACGGCACUGCCGAUAUGUAAUUUUAAAACAUAAGAAAGGUGGCGCUAAUACAAUCAAAUACAUCACCUUUUCAGUAAAUGUUUUGAAAGUUUAUUUAUAAAAUAUUCAUGAUGAAAAUUUCUUUGUAAUCCACAAAAUUAUGUUGAUGCUUUAUUUAGUAUUUACUUAUCAUGUCCACGAUCUUGUCAAAAUUCGCCGAAACCGCCAUUCUAUCAGAACGAUUUUCGGAGUUAUUUUAUCAAUGUUCUAUGUUAAAUAAGUGAUUUUUUAAACCAGGGUAGUGAUUUUUAUUGUCAUUUUAUUCUAAAACAUCAGCAUAUUAAACAUUAUUUUACCAAAGACAAUUAAAUAACAAACAGGCUGAAUGUAACAUUCGUACCCAAACCCGAUCGUACCAAACUAAGAUUCGUCCCCUACAUUUAUUUUUUUGUGUGUAUCUAUUUAUUUGAUGUUUAACUGUGUUUGUUUUUGUCUUCAUCUUACAACUUUUAAAAGAAAUAUUUGACAUUGCACUAAAGAAGAUGCCAAACAAGUACAAUCAUACUACCACAGACAAAAAGACAAAUUUUAAUUUUGAUAUUAAAACACACCCUUCUAAAUUUUGAGAAAAAACAACAACACCAUUUUGUAUAAGUCUGAAAAUCAUGGAAAAUGAUUUAAAUUGAGUAUAAAAACAAAACAAAAUCUAGGGGGAACCCCCCCCCCCCCACAAAAAAACAAACACCUUGUGGCAGGGGUGGACCCCCCCCCCCACAACCACCCCAACCUCUACACGACUCAUGUAGCUUGCCCUUUUCAAAACUCCACCCUGCCCUUUUCAAAUCCUGGCUGGAGCACUGUUAUCAUAAGUAAAAUUCAUUUAUUUGAAAGAGUACAUUUUAUGAAUAAGUCCAAUUAAGCUUUAUAAUUUUUUACAAGAAAAAGGUUGAUUUUUAAGCAUUUUAUUAGCUAUAAAAAUGUAUGGUAACAUGACAUUAUGUAUAUUUUCUUCAAAACUGGACGGUAAACUAUCAUUAAUUGUCUUUUAAAUUGUUCAAUAGACAUCAUAGAUAAUAUCUAAAAUGAUUUCAGCAGCUUGCCUUAUAGUUAACUAUUUUUUAUGAAUUUUAUAAAACUGCUAUAUAUUUUCAAACAUCGAAAAUCUGCUCUAUUCCGAAGAAUCAUAAGAUCAAUCAAAAUGAUUUUUUUCCAUGUGUAUCGAUAAUGUGUUCGUUUGAACUUCUGUUAACUGAAGUUUAUUUUACUAGAAACUGUUGUGUUUAUUUCAUAAUCUCUGAUAAUGCGAAAAAAUUUCAAAUAUAGACAAAAUAUUUACU